rnacentral:rRNA from 1 species
CCUACGGGAGGCAGCAGUGGGGAAUAUUGCACAAUGGGCGCAAGCCUGAUGCAGCGACGCCGCGUGAAGGAAGAAGGUCUUCGGAUUGUAAACUUCUAUCAGCAGGGAAGAAUAAAUGACGGUACCUGACUAAGAAGCCCCGGCUAACUACGUGCCAGCAGCCGCGGUAAUACGUAGGGGGCAAGCGUUAUCCGGAAUUACUGGGUGUAAAGGGUGCGUAGGCGGCUUGGUAAGUCGGGAGUGAAAUUUAGGGGCUCAACCCCUAGGGUGCUCUCGAAACUACUGAGCUAGAGUAUAGGAGAGGAAAGUGGAAUUCCACGUGUAGCGGUGAAAUGCGUAGAGAUGUGGAGGAACACCAGUAGCGAAGGCGACUUUCUGGACUAUUACUGACGCUGAGGCACGAAAGCGUGGGGAGCAAACAGGAUUAGAUACCCUGGUAGUCCACGCUGUAAACGAUGAAUGCUAGGUGUUGGGGCUCACGGGUCUCGGUGCCGAAGUUAACACAUUAAGCAUUCCACCUGGGAAGUACGAUCGCAAGAUUGAAACUCAAAGGAAUUGACGG